rnacentral:rRNA from 1 species
GUAGGGAAUCUUCGGCAAUGGACGAAAGUCUGACCGAGCAACGCCGCGUGAGUGAAGAAGGUUUUCGGAUCGUAAAACUCUGUUGUUAGAGAAGAACAAGGAUGAGAGUAAAAUGUUCAUCCCUUGACGGUAUCUAACCAGAAAGCCACGGCUAACUACGUGCCAGCAGCCGCGGUAAUACGUAGGUGGCAAGCGUUGUCCGGAUUUAUUGGGCGUAAAGCGAGCGCAGGCGGUUCUUUAAGUCUGAUGUGAAAGCCCCCGGCUCAACCGGGGAGGGUCAUUGGAAACUGGGAGAACUUGAGUGCAGAAGAGGAGAGUGGAAUUCCAUGUGUAGCGGUGAAAUGCGUAGAUAUAUGGAGGAACACCAGUGGCGAAGGCGGCUCUCUGGUCUGUAACUGACGCUGAGGCUCGAAAGCGUGGGGAGCAA